GAGUAAAAGUCAAAAAAGAGACAAAUUAUUGUUAAUAAUUUAAAUGAAUAUAAAUUUCUUGCUCAA
rnacentral:tRNA from 1 species